rnacentral:rRNA from 1 species
AGAGUUUGAUCCUGGCUCAGAACUAACACUGGCGGCGCGCCUAACACAUGCAAGUCGAACGAGAAAACCCGCUUCGGUGGGUAAGUAAAGUGGCAGACGGGUGAGUAAUACAUGGGUAACCUGUCCUCGAAUUCGGAAUAACUCCCUGAAAAGGGGGCUAAUACCGGAUAAGACCACAGGCUCAACUUCGGAGCCAGCGGUAAAAGAUGGCCUCUGAUAUCAAGCUAUUGUUUGAGGAGGGGCUCAUGCGCUAUUAGCUAGUUGGUAGGGUAAUGGCCUACCAAGGCGGAGAUGGCUAGCCGGCCUGAGAGGGUGGUCGGCCACACUGGGAUUGAGAUACGGCCCAGACUCCUACGGGAGGCAGCAGUGAGGAAUAUUGCGCAAUGGGGGAAACCCUGACGCAGCGACGCCGCGUGAGCGAUGAAGGCCUUCGGGUCGUAAAGCUCUGUCAGAGGGAAAGAAACAUAUGGGCAGCAAAUAGCGUCUGUAUCUGACGGUACCCUCGGAGGAAGCCCCGGCUAACUACGUGCCAGCAGCCGCGGUAAAACGUAGGGGGCAAGCGUUGUUCGGAAUUAUUGGGCGUAAAGCGCGUGUAGGCGGCUCAGAGUAAGUUAGGUGUGAAAGCCCACGGCUCAACCGUGGAAGUGCACUUAAGACUGCUGAGCUAAGAGUCCGGGAGGGGAGAGUGGAAUUCCCAGUGGAGCGGUGAAAUGCGUAGAUACUGGGAGGAACACCUGUAGCGAAGGCGGCUCUCUGGACCGGUACUGACGCUGAGACGCGAAAGCUAGGGGAGCAAACGGGAUUAGAUACCCCGGUAGUCCUAGCCGUAAACGAUGGGCACUAGGUGUAGGAGGCAUUGACCCCUUCUGUGCCGAAGCUAACGCAUUAAGUGCCCCGCCUGGGGAGUACGGUCGCAAGACUGAAACUCAAAGGAAUUGACGGGGGCCCGCACAAGCGGUGGAGCAUGUGGUUUAAUUCGAUGCAACGCGAAGAACCUUACCGGGGUUUGAAAUGUGCCGGACCGUCCUGGAAAUGGGACUUUCCUUCGGGACUGGUACACAGGUGCUGCAUGGCUGUCGUCAGCUCGUGUCGUGAGAUGUUGGGUUAAGUCCCGCAACGAGCGCAACCCUCGCUUUCAGUUGCCAGGAGAUCCUUUUGGGUCUCGGCACUCUGGAGGGACUGCCGCUGAUGAAGCGGAGGAAGGUGGGGAUGACGUCAAGUCAGCAUGGCCCUUACGUCCCGGGCUACACACGUGCUACAAUGGUCGGUACAGAGGGAAGCUAAGCCGUAAGGUGUCGCAAAUCUCAAAAAGCCGGUCUCAGUUCGGAUUGGGGUCUGCAACUCGACCCCAUGAAGGAGGAAUCGCUAGUAAUCGCAGAUCAGCAGGCUGCGGUGAAUACGUUCCCGGGCCUUGUACACACCGCCCGUCACACCACGAAAGUUGGCUGCACCAGAAGUCGCUGGACUAACCUGAGCAAUCGGGAGGUAGGCGCCGAAGGUGUGGUUAGUGAUUGGGGUGAAGUCGUAACAAGGUAGCCGUAGGAGAACCUGCGGCUG